GAUGAAGAACGUAGUGAAAUGCGAUAAGUAAUGUGAAUUGCAGAAUUCAGUGAAUCAUCGAAUCUUUGAACGCUCAUUGCGGCCGCUGGUAUUCCGGCGGGCAUGCCUGUUCGAGCGUCAUUUCAACCCUCAAGCCCCCGGGUUUGGUGUUGGGGAUCGGCUCUGCCCUUCUGGGCGGUGCCGCCCCCGAAAUACAUUGGCGGUCUCGCUGCAGCCUCCAUUGCGUAGUAGCUAACACCUCGAAACUGGAACGCGGCGCGGCCAUGCCGUAAAACCCCAACUUCUGAAUGUUGACCUCGGAUCAGGUAGGAAUACCCGCUGAACUUAAGCAUAUCAAUAAGCGGAGGA
rnacentral:misc_RNA from 1 species